rnacentral:rRNA from 1 species
UUAACGGCCGCGGUAUCUUAACCGUGCAAAGGUAGCAUAAUCAAUUGUCUCUUAAAUCGGGACUAGUAUGAACGGCACCACGAGGGUUUAACUGUCUCCCUAUUUUAAUCAAUGAAAUUAACCUUCCCGUGAAGAGCCGGGAAUAUAAUUAUAAGACGAGAAGACCCCAUGGAGCUUUAAACUUGUUAUCACUUAUUUAAUAGUACAACACACCACCAAAUAAGAGUGUCUAAUAGUUUUUGGUUGGGGCGACCCUGGAGAAAAAUGAAUCCUCCAGAUUGAAAGAGAUAAUAACCCUCAUGUAAGAACCACAGUUCAAACAAACAAAAAUUUGACAAAACUGACCCAGAAUUAACUGAUCAGUGAACCAAGUUACCCUGGGGAUAACAGCGCAAUCCAUUUCAAGAGCCCAUAUCGACAAAUGGGUUUACGACCUCGAUGUUGGAUCAGGGGAUCCUAGCAGCGCAGCCG